UUCAAGACCAAGGACAAAUCUAUUGCAAAAACAUAAGAUUUCAACUUGUAUAGAAACACUAUCAAACCAUUCAAGAAACUCUCAUGUUUGGCAAAUUGUUUUGUUAUACAGUCUCACUACCAAUAAACAAGUCUACAAACAUCAUUUGAAAGCACUAAUGACUAAUUUACUAAUUUGUAAUCAGAAUGAGAGAAAUUAAAUUGAUGAAGAAUUGUAUUAAGACGAAAUUAAAAUAAGAUUUAUGUUAAAGUUGUUUACUAAACUAUCUAAAAUCAAAGUAGGAAUGAUAGAUAAUUUCUUAUAAUUGUUUACAAAUUCAUUUGAAUCGGAAUUAAAAUUAAGUUGAUUACGAUAUUGCCCUUUCUGUACAACAUAUAUUUUAGAUUAUCCAGUAAAAGAUGACAAUAUCCGGCAAAAGAGAGAUCUUGUCUUGCCCUUCAUGGGAAUCUGUGAACCUCUCCUCCCUCCCACCUCUAUGUUCCCACUUCCACACUACCCCAUAGGCACCUUCUCGUCCUCCUCGGUCGCCGCCACCACUCUCUGCGUCUUGGGAGAAGCUAUUCUGAUUUGAGGCUCUACCAAAUUACCAAUCUCAUGCAGAGGGAUAAGAGCCACGAUAUUUGAUGGUCCUGCUGGUGUUGUGGUGGUGAAGGCACAAGAAGUCGGUGAAGAGAGAGGUGAGGGGAGGGACUGCUACAGGGAGGGGAAAGUGGGACCACUGGAGGAAAGUGUAGUCCUAUCCAUAUAAACAGCACAGCUGACUCAGCACAGUACGGCAUCCUAUGGAUAAGCUCUUAAGCCCUUUGCACAAUUCCAAGAACACUUUCUCAUGGUGUACAAUCCAUGUUACUAAUUUUGCAUUGGUUGAUCGUUUAAAACGAUAACAUUAUAUUAUAAUCGACAGUGCAGAUGAUGUUUUUAUGUAUCAUUCAUCCAUGCAAUUGUUCGAGAUAGAGAUGUUUUUGGUACAAUAUUUUAAUUGAAUCUUGAAUAUAUGUAAUCAUCGACAACAGAUGUUUAAGUCGUAUUGAAGAAUCAAACAGAAGAUACAUAAUAUCCACUUCUAUAUAAACUAACACAAACAGCUUCCCAUUUAUCCCAAUCCUCAAGCCCUCCAACACAACCUCUCACUCACUUCACUCCUUAUCUCAAUCUCCUUCCUAAAAAUCUAGCACCUAAAAAACCCCAGAGUUGAGUCUCUUCCUACCAACCCAAACAGAUUCCAAAGAUUCAAACCGGCGACGUUUGAAAACUUCAUCAUGGCUGCAGCAGCUAGCUCAACUUCCUCACUGUACGAGGUUCUUGGCCUUCCAAUGGGUGCAAGUGGCCAUGAGAUCAAGGCAGCCUACAGAAAGCUGGCCAGAAGGUGCCAUCCUGACGUUGUCGCCAUGGACCAAAAGCAAAACUCUACUAAUGAGUUCAUGAAAAUCCAUGCAGCUUACGCAACGCUAUCGGACCCCGAUAAAAGAGCAAACUACGACAGGGAUCUUUAUAGAUGUCCCCAACCUUUCCAAUCUUCGUACUCGUCGGCGAACAUGGCUGCGGCCGCUUCGGCAAUGGCGGGGUCUUCCCGACGGACUAAUAGGAAUUGGGAGACUGACCAAUGUUGGUAGCUCAAAACAGAGGAAACAGAGGAUCCCCUGUUUAUUAUGUGCAUUUAUAAAUGUCUGAAAUACAUUUUAGCUUUGUGGUUUGUUGGCUUA